CUAUCAUCGAGAAAGGUGGAGGGACUGGCCCUGAGAAGCCUUGGCAACCGUCACGCACAGUGAUUGGUGCCAAUUCCAUCCCGGACUGCGAGCCGGGAGAGAUGAUGG
rnacentral:ncRNA from 18 species